rnacentral:lncRNA from 1 species
GGUUUUACUGCAGCAGCCGGAGGUGACAGCGACGCCUCAGCCGCCUCUGUUGCUCUCAGAGCCCCGGCUUCCCCUGCACCGGGAAAGCGCCCCCUCCCGAGAGGCUGGUCCCUGGCGAAGUGCGAACGAGCUGCGGAAAACCAAAUUUUAAAAUGUAGAAGUCGUUGAGCUGCAUUCCUCCGAGGACCAGUCUGAUCGCCCAAGACUGAGAGUGGCAGCGUAUGAGAAGUUGGGACCGUAGAGCAAGUGGGGGGAGGGGAGUGUUGCAGCAGGCAUUCUAUUCUGGAAGGAGUCGCUGGGAGCAGUGCGGUUGGACACAAGUUUGCGUAGGAGUGUUUUCCUUUUGUCAAUAAUUAAUCACCGGAAUUAGCCUGGUAGAAUUUGAGUUUUAGCAAUAGUCCCGAGGGCGGGGCCGAACACCUAACUCCGGGAGGCUCCCAGGCGCCCGGCGCAGUGGGAAGCUCGCAGCAGCUGGGGAGGAGCCAAAGCCUCGGCGCUCACCUAAGCCGCAGGGAGAUACACCCAACUGGGAGAUGAGGAAACAGCAACCCAGAGAGGAGAAGUAACCCACACAAGAUCAUUUUGUGAAGGAGCAAGGCUGAAGACCCAGACCUGGACUUUCUUAGGACAAACUUAACUGCAGCUUGAAGGAGCCAACCAUGGAUUUGAGGCGUGUGAAGGAAUAUUUCUCCUGGCUCUACUAUCAAUACCAAAUCAUUAGCUGCUGUGCUGUUUUAGAGCCCUGGGAGCGAUCUAUGUUUAACACCAUCUUACUAACCAUUAUUGCUAUGGUGGUAUACACUGCCUAUGUCUUUAUUCCAAUCCACAUUCGCCUGGCUUGGGAAUUUUUCUCAAAAAUAUGUGGAUAUCACAGUACAAUUUCUAAUUGAUCUUGUUCACAUUCAGUGAAAUGGCAUUGCAUAUUUAUAUGUUGCUUACAACUUAUUGAUUUAGGUAACUAUUGUGUCUUCCUUCACUAUCUGACCUGAAAAGCACUCUCUUCUCUAUGCACUCUUAUAUUCUGCCUUUCUGCCUGGAGUUUGAAAUAGAUGUCUCUUUAGUUUCUUUCACACAUGCUACACUGUGCAUUAGACCGUAGAUAAUACAGUGACUUUACCUCACAAAUCAUAUUCUGUCAACACAAAUCUAUGAAUUUAGUUUAUUUAAAAUCAGAACAAUUUCCUACAAAAUUUUUCUGGAAAAUAGGCUCCUAACAGACCUACCAGAAUCAUGCUUAAAGUGCUCCCUUGACACUUAUUCUAUACUGAAGGAUAAAUUUUAAAAAAUCUUUAUAGGCUACUGUCAGAAGUAUCCUAUCCUUGUUUACGAUGUAUAAAAAGAUGUGAAUAAAUUAUAUGGACCCCCUAAGUCUUAUUUUCUAGUAAACUGAUGAUACUGGAAAUUCUUUUACUUCAAAUGCAAAAGAAUAAGCUGGAGGCAAUUCUUUCCUUUCAUACACAGUUCAUGAAUCGUUUUAAAUGCUUCUUAAAGUCUGGCUUUAUAACCGUUUAAAAUCAACAAUGUUGAUUUUAGAUAACCAAGUAAGCAUUAUAAUACAAAAUAAUUUUAAGUGUAAGAAACUAAAGUAUAAUCAAAGUAAAUUCAGAUAUUGUGAUUUGUGGCGUUGCCUUGCCUUGCAUGAUGCUGGCGGAAAAAGAGAAAAGAAAUGGUUUUCUUUUUGUACUUUCAUUCAGUGUAGAGGGAAAAAAGCAUGUAUUGGGCCACCGGAAGAAAAGCUAAUAAAUAGGCUGGAAGUAAUAGUCUACCAGCAGGAACUCAACAGCUCCAGUUAAGUGCUUUGAUAUAGUGGCUCCUUUGCAGAGCCAAAACAAGAUUUAUUAAAUUUUAUUCAAACUGUUUAUCUUUAAAACAAAUAUAAGGUUUUAAUUAUACUGCUGAAGCAAAUGUGAAUGCCAAAGACUACGUUUUGCAGUUUUGCUUUCCUCCCAAUAAAUAUUAAUGUAUGUAAUUCUAGAGGGUAAAACUGUAAAUAGGUUUGAACAAUAUUUGCACCCUUGUUUGUGUUAUGAAAAAAUUUUUCCAAGGCGAGCUAGAGAGAAGGAUGUUUGGCAUGCCAAAUUAACUUGCAUGUUUGUUAAAAAAACAAACACAUGUUUUGAAGAGAAACCAGAUCUGAACAUGUAUUUGUUGAGUUUUGCAAAAUAAAAUUAAUUUUGUAAG